CUAGCAUAAACAUUGAAAGGCUAGUGCACAUCCCCGCCGGGACCACAAGCGCCGCUUUAAAACCCAAGGACUUGGCGGUGCUUUAGACCAACCUAGAGGACCUGGUCCAGUACCGAUUAACCCCGUUUAAACUUAACCUUCCCUGUUUUACCCGGCUAUUAUCGCCGUUGUCCGCUUUACCCGUUAAGGCAAACCGUUAGCAAAAAUUGCCCCCCCCAAAACGGCAAGGCGAGGUGGUGGGUAUUAGAGGGGGAAAAAUUGGCCACCUUUGUUAGCUAACGAUACGAAAGACAUAAUGAACCGUAUAUCAAAGGAGGAUUUAGCAGUAAGCGGGAGUUAGAAGCCGCUCCAAAACAGGCCCCGAAGAGCGCACAACCGCCCCGUCA
rnacentral:rRNA from 1 species